UGCCUCCUCCUGUGUCCAGAGCUGCAAUCAACCAUAGAAAAGAUAUUCGGGUGGGGCUGUAAACAUUGCUGAACAGGCAACUUGUCAACACAGUACAGGAAUUAUUUACACUAGAUUAGAUAUCAGCUACGUGAACUCCAGUAUGCAAAAGAAUGUGGAUGGGCCAUACGCACGUACUACUAAGGAAUUUCACUGAGCACUGGCUCAUUUUAGCUCUACAGGGAAGUAGGGAAUGGCUUCCGGGAAGGAGUCCUCCCAUGGAUACAAAGAGAAAACUACAUGUUCUUGGAAUUCACUAUCACAGGUCUCUAAUGACCUCAAAGAACCACAGAUACUUCAAGCUCCAGCAUGAAUUCUGGAUAGCAGGAGGCCGUCUGUCCAUCUGACAGUAAGGCAGUCAGAAUGCAAAGGCACCUUCAGCAGAACCAGGAUGGGUACGUGCAUAUGGCCCAUACACAAACUUUCUCCUGGCCAAGGUUUCUGUACAAAGGUCUCCAGCCUAAAGCUCUUAACCUGCAUGAGCUUACCACUCUGAUCAGCUGAGACAGCCCGAGGACAUUCAAGGUAAUGGUGGACAUGUCCUCUCUCUACCUAAGAAAAACAUAUUUACCUAGAAAUUACGUCUUCAGUGAUUUUUAACCUGCUCAGCUCUUCAGUCGCAUGUCACUUGCCAAGAAAAUGGAUUUCCUGGGAGCUGGAGAGAUGGUUCAGCAGAUUCUGCCUGUGGGUGUGGGUAUAUGAAGAAUGGGCCCAUCAAAACCCACUGAAGUUUGGAACAUGCAGAAUGCUAAUGGUGAGACUGCACUAAAAACGGACAUCCAACUACUGAGCACAGCUGUGUCAAGAGAAAGCGAAGCGCUGAAUGAGCAAACCCACUCCUGAGGCCUGUGAGAUGUGGCUGCUUUGGAUUCAGGACUUAACGUAUUUUAGAUC